rnacentral:tRNA from 1 species
CUCUUGGUAGCUCAGCUGGUAGAGCAAUUGACUCUUAAUCAAUGGGUCGGGGGUUCGAAUCCCCCCCGGGAGA